rnacentral:rRNA from 1 species
AGUGAACGCUGGCGGUAGGCCUAACACAUGCGAGUCGAACGGCAGCACAGUAAGAGCUUGCUCUUACGGGUGGCGAGUGGCGGACGGGUGAGGAAUACAUCGGAAUCUACUUUUUCGUGGGGGAUAACGUAGGGAAACUUACGCUAAUACCGCAUACGACCUACGGGUGAAAGCAGGGGAUCUUCGGACCUUGCGCGAUUGAAUGAGCCGAUGUCGGAUUAGCUAGUUGGCGGGGUAAAGGCCCACCAAGGCGACGAUCCGUAGCUGGUCUGAGAGGAUGAUCAGCCACACUGGAACUGAGACACGGUCCAGACUCCUACGGGAGGCAGCAGUGGGGAAUAUUGGACAAUGGGCGCAAGCCUGAUCCAGCCAUACCGCGUGGGUGAAGAAGGCCUUCGGGUUGUAAAGCCCUUUUGUUGGGAAAGGAAAGCAGCAGGUUAAUACCCCGCUGUUCUGACGGUACCCAAAGAAUAAGCACCGGCUAACUUCGUG